rnacentral:rRNA from 1 species
AUUGAACGCUGGCGGCAGGCUUAACACAUGCAAGUCGAGCGGAGCGAGGGUGCUUGCACCUUAGCUUAGCGGCGGACGGGUGAGUAAUGCUUAGGAAUCUGCCUAUUAGUGGGGGACAGCAUUCCGAAAGGGAUGCUAAUACCGCAUACGCCCUACGGGGGAAAGCAGGGGAUCUUCGGACCUUGCGCUAAUAGAUGAGCCUAAGUCGGAUUAGCUAGUUGGGGGGGUAAAGGCCUACCAAGGCGACGAUCUGUAGCGGGUCUGAGAGGAUGAUCCGCCACACUGGGACUGAGACACGGCCCAGACUCCUACGGGAGGCAGCAGUGGGGAAUAUUGGACAAUGGGCGGAACCCUGAUCCAGCCAUGCCGCGUGUGUGAAGAAGGCCUUUUGGUUGUAAAGCACUUUAAGCGAGGAGGAGGCUACUGGUAUUAAUACUACCGGAUAGUGGACGUUACUCGCAGAAUAAGCACCGGCUAACUCUGUGCCAGCCGCCGCCGUAACAC